AGUGAACGCUGGCGGUAGGCCUAACACAUGCAAGUCGAACGGCAGCACAGUAAGAGCUUGCUCUUACGGGUGGCGAGUGGCGGACUGGUGAGGAAUACAUCGGAAUCUACUUUUUCGUGGGGGAUAACGUAGGGAAACUUACGCUAAUACCGCAUACGACCUACGGGUGAAAGCAGGGGAUCUUCGCACCUUGCGCGAUUGAAUGAGCCGAUGUCGGAUUAGCUAGUUGGCGGGGUAAAGGCCCACCAAGGCGACGAUCCGUAGCUGGUCUGAGAGGAUGAUCAGCCACACUGGAACUGAGACACGGUCCAGACUCCUACGGGAGGCAGCAGUGGGGAAUAUUGGACAAUGGGCGCAAGCCUGAUCCAGCCAUACCGCGUGAGUGAAGAAGGCCUUCGGGUUGUAAAGCCCUUUUGUUGGGAAAGAAAAGCAGCAGGUUAAUACCCCGCUGUUCUGACGGUACCCAAAGAAUAAGCACCGGCUAACUUCGUG
rnacentral:rRNA from 1 species